UACGUAGGGUGCAAGCGUUAAUCGGAAUUACUGGGCGUAAAGCGUGCGCAGGCGGCUUUGCAAGACAGAUGUGAAAUCCCCGGGCUUAACCUGGGGACUGCAUUUGUGACUGCAAGGCUGGAGUGCGGCAGAGGGGGAUGGAAUUCCGCGUGUAGCAGUGAAAUGCGUAGAUAUGCGGAGGAACACCGAUGGCGAAGGCAAUCCCCUGGGCCUGCACUGACGCUCAUGCACGAAAGCGUGGGGAGCAAACAGG
rnacentral:rRNA from 1 species